GAAUAAACAAAAUUUGGGUGCAAGUUAGCCGAAAUUUUUUUAUUUUUUGUUCAAAUCGAUUAUAAUCAAUGGCUAAAUUGAUAGAAAAUCGUUCAGUGGUCACGAAUAAUCAAGUUUUAUCGUUGAGUAGUCAUUGAAUUAUUUGAUAAUUUGAAAAAACUAGAGACCAGUUGGCAGGGACAAAGUCGACCAGUCGGUGGGAUUUAGUCGGGCAAAUAAGUUUUUAAUUAACCAAUCGCAUUCUAAUUAAUUUUAAACUAAAGAUAAUCGUUAGGUGGUGAUUAGUGGCGUAAUUUAAAUAUUUAGUGGUCACUCCUCAUUCUUAAUUAAAUAAAUAAAAUUAAAGCAAAUUUGGCCGAACAAUUUUCAUUUUCCAUUCAAUCGUUUAAACAUGAAGCUAAAUCGAUGUAGAAUCGUUAGGUGGUCACAAAUAAUCGCGUUGUAACGUUUAGUAAUCAAUAGAUUAUUUAAUAACUGCGAAAAACUAUUUAUGACCAGUCGGCGGAGUUUAGUCAGACAGACAUUUGUUUCAUGGACUUUUGAUGGAACACGUGGUUACGACAGUUCCUUUCUGGGACGUCCAAGCUCUUUGAAUCCCGGUGACUUUACACUGUUCAUUAGGUGAAACAGUGAAGUGACUCAUAUUAAGAUUCAGAACGCUGAUGAUUUUUAUGAUCUUUAUUAUGGAAGUGAAAAGUUUGCCACACUCUCGGAGCUCGCCCAGUUUUACAUGGAUAAUGGUGGACAAUUGAGAGAAUAAAAAACGGUCAAGUUAUUGAAUUAAAGCAUCCUCUUGAUUGUGCGGAUCCAACAACCGAAAGGUGGUGCCAUGGACAUUCAUCCGCCUAAGAAGCCGAAAGUUUGAUGUUCGAGCGAGGAAAAAACGGAUCGUUUCUCGACUGCGAAUCGCAGAGUAAACCAGGAGACGUUGUUUUAUCGGUGGGAAGAUCAGUAAGUUCAGCAUCUGAAAUACGGCGUUGGUGGCGGUGAGAAAUUUGAUAGUUUGAGCGAUCUGAUAGAGCACUACGAAAAUCAAUGUACAAUGGCUACAAAUUUUGAAAGAAGGUUGGGCAGCUCUCUUGACUGUUUUCAUGUGAGAAGACCAAUUCCUGUGAACUCAACAUUUGAGAUAUUUGAGCGACAAAGGAACAGAAGUGAACCAAUCUGUGCCAAUAGUAUUGGCGAUAAGCACUGCGAAUAAAAAUUGUUUAGAAAGUUUUCUGCUAUAACCCUUUGAUACGCUGGUAAAUCUUUAGCUAUUUUGAGAAAACCAGAAUUUUACGAUCAUCGGAAAGAGGAAAGAUGUGCUCGCCAAUUCGACGAGCGACCCCAUGCAUCAUGGCGUUUUUCAUUUUUUAUUCUGAACUUUUCGCAAGGGCGAGAAAAAAACAAGAAUUAGAAUUUUCACCGUAAUCAGCCGAUUAUCGAGAUUUUUAACGCCGAAUGUUUACAACGACGAAAAUGACUUGAUGAAUUUUGUAAACCAAUGUUCACUUGCAACUCCGCUGGGUUUCAAUUUCAGCCAUGUAUUGCAUUGAACGUUACUUCCGAGUAUGAUAGCAGGUGAAGAGGAGACCCUUUGCACUUUGUUUUAUUGUGACAUCGAUACGUUUCAUCUUCCAUUUAUUAUUCAUUCGAAAUACAUUUUUCGUCAAUUUUAUUAUUCCUCACGCAAAUUCAAACCGAUAUUGCGCAAUAUCAUUAUCGUAGUCGACACGUAUUUGUAUUUUCCUUUCACCACUUGUAUUCGUCACAUAAAUUAUUAUUGACGAAGACUGAAUAAAAAAACAUUAGGAAAA